CCCUGUGGAACCCUAAACGGCCGCGGUACAAAACCGUGCARNAGGUAGCACAAUCACUUGUCCCCUAAAUGAGGACCCGUAUGAAAGGCAACAUGAGAGAAAACCUGUCUCCUAAGGUCCGCCAGUGAAAUUGAUCUAUCAGUACAAAAGCUGAUAUAACUAAGCAAGACAAAAAGACCCUAUGGAACUUUAACAAAUUGGUUAGACACAAUAAACAAUAGUUUCAGUUGGGAUAACUUUAGAAAAAAUAAACCUCUAAUAACACCUAGACUAACUAGUCCAGACRNACCACAUAUGACCCAGUAAUACUGAAUAACGAAACAAGCUACCCUAGGGAUAACAGCGCCACCUUCUCAAAGAGUCCAUAUCAACAAGAAGAUCUACGACCUCGAUGUUGGAUCAGGGUACCCAGACGGUGCAGCAGCUGUCAAAGGUUCGUUUGUUCAACGACUAACACCCU
rnacentral:rRNA from 1 species